CACUAGAAAGUGAACUUCUGCUUUCUCUCUGUACUAUGAGGAUACAGUGAGAAGGCUGUCAUCUACUAGCCAGGAAGAGAGCUUUCACCAGAAACCUAGUUGGCUGGCACCAUGAUCUCAGACUCUUCUGUCUCCAGAAUGUGAGAAAUAAAAGUCUGUCAUUUCAACCACCCAGUCUGGUAUUUUGUUAAAGCAGCAUGAGCAGACUAAUACAGCACCUAGUAUAUGGAAGAUGCUCCAUAAAUGUAUGUUAAAUUGAGUAGGAUAAAGGAACUAGAGUAAGGACAGCCAACAUUUGUUGAGCCCUCCCUCUGUGCUAGCAACUCUGUAAAGCAGGUACUUUAGACCCAUUUUAUAGAUGGUAAGUGACACUUAGAAAGUGAGCAAAGUCACACAGCUAGGAGGUGAACCAAAAGUCUGAUUCUAUAGUCUAAUUCUUAAACACUGUAUUAAAUUUUCUCUUGAAUAAGAUGAAUUUCCUGUCCCAGACCUCUACCAUCCAAUAGGGUAGGUAGCUACCUGUGACUGUUGAGCAGUUGAGAUGUGGCUAGUCUGAAUUUAGAAGUGCAAAACACAUUUUAAAGAUUUAGUAUGGAAAAAAUGAAUACUAAAUACUGAAAUGUUAAAAUAGUCAUAUUUCAUAGUAAGAUAUAUGGGGUCAUAUAAAAUAAUUUCUACCUCUUAAAUGUGGCUACUAGAAAAUUUUAAUAACACAUGUGGCUUCAUUAUCUUCCUGUAGAAAUAUAGACUACUGUUUCCUAGGGGACUCCACUUCAGCUACAGCAGUUGUAUAUCCAGACGUGAUAAUUCAGAGACUAGUCCACAGGUCUUUAACUUCCUCUGGGAUUUGCUUUUGGUCACUUCACUGACCCUUUGAGACUAGGCAUUUGCUAGGGAUGAAGGAAUAAAGGUCAGUGCUUCAGUCAAAUUGGAGUCUUGUGGAAAGGUCAGGCAUCCAGGGAGUCAUGGAGCAAGGUUGGAGCCAUUGGCCAAAGUAUUAUCUCCAAAUAAUCUGUGAAUAUCGGUUACAAUAAAUCUUGUGUCUGCUCACUUGGAGGGGAGCCAUAGCUCAAAAGGAGAUGCUUCAAAGGAAUUAGUAAUCAAUUCCUCUCUUCCUUUAGAGGGCAGGAAGCUGCUUCCAGUAAACAAAAUAAGCCGUGGUAGGAUCUCACAGCACUCCCCAACUAGCAGCUUGAGGUCAUGAGGAUGGGCUGUCACUUCCAAAUAGAUGAGUAGAGAAAAUCCACAAAGCAGGUGACUAAGACUUAGGCAUUGCAUCCCCACCGGUUAUCCCAGGAGGCAAAUAGUAAGGAAAGGAGACGUAUGAUUUGUGUAAAUAGGUCAAAUCCUUUGGAAAACAGAAAAUGAAAUACCAAUAGAUGCCAGUAAAAUGAAUCCAUCAGCUUCCCAGCUUCUCUGUCUCUAGGCCACAGGGGUUCCCGCACGUUCCAGUCUGAGUCAGAGGAAAGAGAAGAUGUGGAGGCCCUGAUUCUCCUGCCUUUCUAAUGAAGAAGUAAACUCUGGGAAUGUUAUGAUGACAUUUUAUGUUUCUCCAGAGAGCUCUAGUUUCAUGUAAUUCUUUUGGAUUUUCUUUGGUGUUCUAAGUUUCUCUAUCAACCCCUGGAAACAUCAUGACUCUCGCUGAUUUUUAUCGGCGCAGAGCCCGGACAUUUGUGCCCAAGCUGUGAUGUUUAUGGCUGUCUCUGACUAGCAACUGCAGAAUGCUGCCAGAGGUAUUUCCCUCAUUUCUUCUCUGAAUUUCCCCAGUGCACAGAACAGAGUCCUAUCUCCACUCCUAUGCUGUGAAUGAACAGGCUUUGUGAAGGGGGUCAGGGAGGAUUUCCUCUGGCAGGCAGGGCAGAGUGGGGGCUACCCAUCUACUCCUCCUUCAUUGACAGAGCAUGGUGUGAAUUUCAAGGGUCCCCAUAUCUGUUAAUACCAUUCCUCUAAGGAGAACAGAACCAUACAGCUCUAGAGAUGGUAAAAAUUCUUCAAGUCUUCUCGUCACUCCCUAAUUUUUAAAGUGAAAUUCAGCCCCCUCCCCACCAUGCCAGGCCCUCACCUUUCACUGCACAACCUCUGAGUCCUCAUCGUGGUCACAGGAAGAAGCUGGAUGGCAAGAUCCUACUCUUAAAUCAAGGUCAGAAAUAAGUGACUGCCAGUUUUGGCAUUCAGUGUGAAAAUCUGUGCAUGAUGCAUUUGGCCCAGGGAACACCUAGUCUCACGAUGACUUUGGAAUUCCCAGCUGCGCCUGUCUCCUGGGCAGACCUCAUUUGUUUCAGUUAAUGCAGAUGACAGGAAGGAGCUGCCGAUCCUGGAGCAGCAGAGGCUUUUCUCCUUUUUGUUAGCCGGGGAAAAGUGCACUUGAGUACCCCGCAAAAAGUAGGCUUCCUUGGGGAGCAUGGGCUUCUCCAGCAGUGAUAGAAAUGCUUCUGUUUUUGCCCUUCCUGAACCGUCCCCUUCCUCCUUGGCACACUAAUGCUGGCACUUCAUCUCUACUCUCCCUUUGUCCUGAUACCCCCUGUGUCACAGGCUGUGACAUUUUUAGAAUGCUUUGUAAAGUAAAAUGCCUCAUUUUCUUCUUGGCUCAUCCUACCUGGGGGAAGCCCUCUGGUCUUUGAACACACUAAUCUCCCUGUCCCCUCCAGUUGGAAUAACUACGCGCAGCCGCCUGUGAUGUGGCCGUGUGGCAUUUGGCAGCGCGGUGGGCGCUGGGCGCGUGCCCGGUCUCACACUCCACCGGUAUUUCCUGUCACUUGUGGAAUUUGUUUCCGAUCACCUUUGCUAACCCAUGUGGGUUUGUAUUUUAAGCAGACUUCCUGCUUCCGCAGUGGUUCUCACAAGACACAGAGUAAUCCAAGGAUCAGACAGAAUAACUAAAUCACCAAGGAAGUUCAUCUUCAGUGGUGCUUUACCUCCAGAUACCUCCUGGGGGCCAUCUUAUGAAUUUUUUCAAAGGUGUUUUCAUUGGUUACGGCGCCCCUGAGUGUUUUGUCUUAAUAUGAAAAUACCUUACUGUAUCCCAGCCUGUUUCCCAUAGAGAAUCCCACCCCUCCCUACAAUUAACCUUUGAAACUGAAGCUACUUUUAGAACAACCCUGCCGUUGCUAUUUGAAAAGGCAGUGUCAAACUUGAUAUCCUGUACAUGUUACCUUGGCUGUUUAAAAGAGCUCAAAAAACAAAACAAAACAAAACAGAAACAAAUGAGAGAGAUAAAGGAGAAGAAAAUAUUUUGUUUUGAUAAAGCUCUGUCACUAAAUGUCGUUCCAAACCCAAAGAAGUCUCUCAAAAGUCUCUAAACCUUGAAGUCAUCUACAAACUGGGAAUGCAUAUUAAUUCAUGCUAGUUGUCGGAAUGAAGAGAUGGAGAGGAUAAAGGGACACACUGAGAAUAUCAGGUACUACCCAGGAUUAAUACUAAUUGAUCCCAACUCAAGCUGCUUAAGCCUCGGAGAUGGAGGAGUUCCCGGGGCAUAAUGGAACACGCUGUGAGUUGCGAUUUUCUCAAAUUCAGUGGGCCCUGGAUGGAUACAUUCCAUUCUGAUGGAUGAGAUAUUUGCUUCCUGGGAGUGUUUUCCUUCACUGGAGGCAAGAAAAAUUGCUCCUUAAAAUAUACCUCUCCAUGGUUGAGAAAUACAAAACCCAACAUGUUUUAAAAUUCCAAAUGGCUAGGGAUUGUCAAGCAUACAGAGAUGUGAAGGCAUCCAGGCACUGGUCUUGCUGUGCCCGCUCUUAAGUUGGGUAUUUAUAGAAGGGCCUUGAGUGCCUCUGCCUCCCCUUCCUCUUGUCCCUCUGAGCAAACAGGUUAUAAUUUUAAGAGGACAGUUCUCAUUUUGCAAUAAGGUGGAAGGUGGAGGGGACAGACCCCUGAAUUUUUUUUUAAAUCAGUGAUUUCAGCUUAAUUAUUACUUCACUUAUUGUGAUCCUAGUUUGUGCCAAGAAUUAAGUGUUAUCUUUUGGCUAACCACAGAAUUUCAAAGGAGUUUUUUUUUUUUGUUU